rnacentral:rRNA from 1 species
UACCUGCAGCUCGAGUGGUAACCGCUAUUAUUGGGCCUAAAGCGUCCGUAGCCGGUUUGGUAAAUAUCUGGGUAAAUCGUGAGGCUUAACUUCACGAAUUUCGGAUAGACUGCCAGACUUGGGAUCGGGGGAGGACAGAGGUACUCCAGGGGUAGCGGUGAAAUGUUGUAAUCCUUGGAGGACCACCGGUAGCGAAGGCGUCUGACUAGAACGAGUCCGACGGUGAGGGACGAAGCCCUGGGGCGCAAACCGGAUUAGAUACCCGGGUAGUCCAGGGUGUAAACGAUGUGGGCUUUGUAUUGGAGGUCCCACGUGGGCGUCCAGUGCAGAAGAGAAGUUGUUAAGCCCACCGCCUGGGAAGUACGGUCGCAAGGCUGAAACUUAAAGGAAUUGGCGGGGGAGCACAGCAACGGGAGGAGCGUGCGGUUU